AGAGUUUGAUCAUGGCUCAGGAUAAACGCUGGCGGCGCACAUAAGACAUGCAAGUCGAACGAACUUAACUCAUUCUUUUAGUUUGAGAGCGGUUAGUGGCGGACUGGUGAGUAACACGUAAGCAACCUGCCUAUUAGAGGGGAAUAACAGUGAGAAAUCAUUGCUAAUACCGCAUAUGCUAACAGUAUCGCAUGAUACAGUUAGGAAAGGAGUAAUCCGCUAAUAGAUGGGCUUGCGCCUGAUUAGCUAGUUGGUGGGGCAAUGGCCUACCAAGGCGACGAUCAGUAGCCGGACUGAGAGGUUGAACGGCCACAUUGGGACUGAGAUACGGCCCAGACUCCUACGGGAGGCAGCAGUCGGGAAUAUUGCGCAAUGGAGGAAACUCUGACGCAGUGACGCCGCGUAUAGGAAGAAGGUUUUCGGAUUGUAAACUAUUGUCGUUAGGGAAGAUACAAGACAGUACCUAAGGAGGAAGCCCCGGCUAACUAUGUGCCAGCAGCCGCGGUAAUACAUAGGGGGCAAGCGUUAUCCGGAAUUAUUGGGUGUGAAGGGUGCGUAGACGGAGGAGCAAGUUGGUUGUGAAAUCCCUCGGCUUAACUGAGGAACUGCAACCAAAACUACUUCCCUUGAGUGUCGGAGAGGAAAGUGGAAUUCCUAGUGUAGCGGUGAAAUGCGUAGAUAUUAGGAGGAACACCAGUGGCGAAGGCGACUUUCUGGACGAUAACUGACGUUGAGGCACGAAAGUGUGGGGAGCAAACAGGAUUAGAUACCCUGGUAGUCCACACCGUAACGAUGGAUAC
rnacentral:rRNA from 1 species